GUGUCAGCAGCCGCGGUAAUACGUAGGUGGCAAGCGUUAUCCGGAUUUACUGGGUGUAAAGGGCGUGUAGGCGGGAAAGCAAGUCAGAUGUGAAAACUGUGGGCUCAACCCAUAGCUUGCAUUUGAAACUGUUUUUCUUGAGUACUGGAGAGGCAGAUGGAAUUCCUAGUGUAGCGGUGAAAUGCGUAGAUAUUAGGAGGAACACCAGUGGCGAAGGCGAUCUGCUGGACAGCAACUGACGCUGAGGCGCGAAAGCGUGGGGAGCAAACAGGAUUAGAUACCCUGGUAGUCCACGCUGUAAACGAUGGAUACUAGGUGUGGGGGGUCUGACCCCCUCCGUGCCGCAGUUAACACAAUAAGUAUCCCACCUGGGGAGUACGAUCGCAAGGUUGAAACUUAAAUGAAUUGACGG
rnacentral:rRNA from 1 species